rnacentral:ncRNA from 1 species
GAAUUGUUGUUAAGACAGCGGACAGAAUGUUUGGCAGCAGUUUUUCUGUUUUUUACAUUCUGAGUUCAAAUGGUACCAAGGCAACUGGUGAUGUGGGAUGAACCGAACAUCUGGUUAAGGUGCCCUAUGCUUCUCCUAUUAGAUCCCAGAAAGGGCAUCGGUUGAUAUAGACAGACAGUAGGACGGUAGCCACGGAAAUCGGAAUCUGCUCAGGAGUGUGUAACAACUUACCUGCUGAAUUGACCAGCCCUGAAAACGGAUGGUGCUGGAGCGAGCAACUGAUGUCAGACCAGCCAGUCGACAAGUUGUGCGAUCGCCGGUGAGGCGACUUUCCGAUGCCCGGCCAAGUA